AAUUUAUCGUGUAGCCAAGGAUGAAUUGCCGGCGUUUCACGCUGUUGAUGGUGCGUGCAUAUAUAAGUUGGCGCCGGCAAGUCAUUUCAGGCUACAUGUUUGCCUCC
rnacentral:pre_miRNA from 17 species